UGGGGAAUAUUGCACAAUGGGCGCAAGCCUGAUGCAGCCAUGCCGCGUGUGUGAAGAAGGCCUUCGGGUUGUAAAGCACUUUCAGCGAGGAGGAAGGUGGUGAACUUAAUACGUUCAUCAAUUGACGUUACUCGCAGAAGAAGCACCGGCUAACUCCGUGCCAGCAGCCGCGGUAAUACGGAGGGUGCAAGCGUUAAUCGGAAUUACUGGGCGUAAAGCGCACGCAGGCGGUUUGUUAAGUCAGAUGUGAAAUCCCCGGGCUCAACCUGGGAACUGCAUUUGAAACUGGCAAGCUAGAGUCUCGUAGAGGGGGUAGAAUUCCAGGUGUAGCGGUGAAAUGCGUAGAGAUCUGGAGGAAUACCGGUGGCGAAGGCGGCCCCCUGGACGAAGACUGACGCUCAGGUGCGAAAGCGUGGGGAGCAAACAGGAUUAGAUACCCCUGGUAGUCCACGCUGUAAAACGAUGUCGAUUUUGGAGGUUGUGCCCUUGAGGCGUGGCUUCCGGAGCUAAC
rnacentral:rRNA from 1 species